rnacentral:rRNA from 1 species
AACGAACGCUGGCGGCAUGCCUAACACAUGCAAGUCGAACGAGACCUUCGGGUCUAGUGGCGCACGGGUGCGUAACGUGUGGGAACCUGCCCUUAGGUUCGGAAUAACUCCCCGAAAGGGGUGCUAAUACCGGAUAAUGUCUUCGGACCAAAGAUUUAUCGCCUUUGGAUGGGCCCGCGUUGGAUUAGCUAGUUGGUAGGGUAAAAGCCUACCAAGGCGACGAUCCAUAGCUGGUCUGAGAGGAUGAUCAGCCACACUGGGACUGAGACACGGCCCAGACUCCUACGGGAGGCAGCAGUGGGGAAUAUUGGACAAUGGGCGAAAGCCUGAUCCAGCAAUGCCGCGUGAGUGAUGAAGGCCUUAGGGUUGUAAAGCUCUUUUACCCGGGAUGAUAAUGACAGUACCGGGAGAAUAAGCACCGGCUAACUACGUG